rnacentral:rRNA from 1 species
UACGGAGGGUGCGAGCGUUGUCCGGAAUCACUGGGCGUAAAGGGCGCGUAGGCGGCCCGAUAAGUAGGGGGUGAAAUCCUGCGGCUUAACCGCAGGGCUGCCUUCUAAACUGUCGGCUAGAGCACGGUAGAGGCAGAUGGAAUUCCCGGUGUAGCGGUGGAAUGCGUAGAGAUCGGGAAGAACAUCAGUGGCGAAGGCGGUCUGCUGGGCCGUGCUGACGCUGAUGCGCGACAGCGGUGGGGAGCAAACAGG